rnacentral:tRNA from 1 species
AGGUGUGUUAAUUUAAUGGUAGAAUAUAGUAGUACGGUUACUUUAGUAUAAGUUCGAGUCUUAUGCACACUUA